UCUAUCUAUCUAUCUGUCCGUCUGUCUAUAUAUAUCUUUCUUAUCUGACCCCCUGACUCUCUCUCUCUCUCUCUCUCUCUCUCUCUCUCUCUCUCUCUCUCUCUCUCUCUCUCUCUCUCAAGAUAAUGGAAUGCCCUAAGAUAAGCAAAGACCCAGAAUUUAUCUUUAUCAGCAAAAUUCUCUCCUGGUGGUUAUGUGGAGGAGGAGGUGGAGGAGGAGGAGGAGGAAGAAGAAGAAGAAUGGCUGUGUUUUUCUCUAUGUCUAUCUAUAUAUUAACAUCUGUAUCACUUUCUGUAUUUAAUUAUCCAUCUAUUUAUCUAUCUAUCUGUCUAUCUAUCAAUCUAUUUAUAUAUAAGCUUCUAAAUCAUUAUCUAUAUGUACCUAAGUAUGUAUUCUAUCCUUCUAUCUCUCUAUCUAUUUCUAUCUCUAUAUACAGGUGAGUUUAGUUAAUUAGCACCUCUACCUGUACUAACACACACCUACAUGAUUCUACCUAAUAAGAUAUAAUGAUACAGUACUUCUAAUUAUGUCAUCACUAUUAUUACCCAUCAUUAUAAUUCUUUCCUAUGAUUUUUUUUCUCAUUUUUACAAGUUUUUCUUCUUUUCCUCUCUUCUUCUUCACACUCUCUAAUGCGAUUUUCCAUAACAAGAAUAUAAUAAAAGACUUCAAGGUAAAAUUUAGCUUAAUGAACAGGUGAAAACUCUAAUUAACUCCUAUUAACACCUGAGAGCCACACAAAAUAAUUCUAACAUAACAACAGGUAAAAAAAAUCACUAUGCUAUCCCUUUAAAAAAAUAUAUAUAUAACCAGGUGAAAUUUAGCUUAAUGAACAGGUGAAAACUCUAAUUAACUCCUAUUAACACCUGAGAGCUUAACAAAAUGAUUCUAAUAUAACAACAGGUAAAAAAGUCACAAUAUAAUCCCUCUAAAAUUAAAUAACCAGGUGUAGGCUUACUGAACAGGUAGGAAAUACUAAUUAAACUAUUACCAACACACCUGCCCUAACCAACACCUGUAUAUAAUAAUCAUAUAGCUAAUAAUAGUAAUAAUAAAUAGUUAACAUGAUAUCCUAAUUAUACCUAUCUGAAUGAACAAGUAAGAGAGAUACUAUAUAAUUAAACUAACCUAAACUAAUUAUGUCUAUGUAAAAGAAAGAAAGAAAGAAAAGAUUGAUUAAAGUUGCUAAACCCAAAAACAUUAACUAAGAAAUAAUAUGAAUAAUCUAAAUCCUCUCUCUCUCUCUCUCUCUCUCUCUCUCUCAUGACCUUGCUCUCUUAAAUGUCUCUCCUCCCUCUCUCUCUCCUUGAUCUUUCUGGAUUACAUAAUGGAGGAAACGAGAAGGAGAGAGAAGAGAAAGAAGGAAAGAAAGAGGAAGAGAAGGAGGAAGAAGCAAAAUUAAGAUAAAGGAGAAUUAAGAGAUAAAGGAAGAAGAAAGGGAGAGAAAGAGGGAGACAGAAAAGUUGAGAGAAAGGGAGGAAAAGAAGGUAAUAAAGGAUUGGAAGGAGAUACGAAGGAUAAACGGAGGGGAUGAGGAGGAUGAGAAGAAGAAAAAGGAAGAAAGAACCAAAUAAAAGAAUGAAGGAAUGAAGGGAGGAGAAAGAGGGAGACAAUGAAAGGAGAUAGGAAGGAGAGAGAGAAGGGGGAGUCAGGGUAAGGGAGAAAAAGGGAGAAUUAAUAAGUGGAAUGCAUCUUAAUCUCGUAAGUCUCUCACAUUUUAAACCCAGCAUCUUUAGGUCAUUAAGCAAGUUUUAUCUAGUGUACCUUUGUCCUAACUCUCCUAAAACUACAACUACUACAACUACUACUAUUAUUACUACCCCUGUCCUUAUUCAACAACUCCUUCCCAUUUGAGCUUCUUAACUAACUCUCAAGAUCGUUAGUGAGGAGCCAAGUUUCUGUAUUGUAUGUUGUAUUUUCGCUAUUACUACCUCUGUCCUUAUUCAACAGCUCCUUCCCAUUUGAGCUUCUUAACUAACUCUAGAUCGUAAAUGAGGAGCCAAGUUUUUGUAGUGUAUGUUGUAUUAUUCCUGUUAAGGACAUCCGUGAAAGGGCAUCAAGGAAAAAGAUGAGGAGGGAAAAGUACGUAGUGAUAUUCUGAUAUUUUGCAAGAUUACUGACACGAAGGAAAAUAUUACUUCACCGGAGAAUGAUUAGUUUUGUCCAGAUUAAUUGAAGGACAAAUUUAUAUAUGAAGGGCAGUUGCAGGAGAUAGGGCAAUGACAUUUUUUUCUGCAAGUUAUUGACGGGAUGGAAAAAUAUGCGUUAAACAAUGUUACACGAAAAAACAGGGUAUGUGAAAAGGGUAAACGAUGAUCUAACUUGCUACCUGAACAUGCCCAGGUAAGUUAAGGGCAUGGGCACGGAGUUAAAUAUUCAGUAAUACCAUCGCAACAAACGGGCGAGGAAUAAAACAAUGGUAUAUACAAUAACUUACAAAAAGAAUAGGAAAUACAAUGAAGGAGAGAGAAAAGGAGAAGGAAAACGAAGCAAGAGAUAACGAGAGUAAGAAGGAAAAAUAGAUAAAGAGGAAUGAAAGGAAAUGGUGAAAAAAGUAGGAAAUACGAUGAAGCAGGGGAGAGAAAAGAAGAAAAUUAGAAACAAAAGAAGAGUUCACCAGGUAGCAGUGACGGGACAAAUUUGUGGCUUUACCGUGUACCAGCAACGGCCCACAUUUUUGCCAUGAUAUAAACCCCCCAAAUAGGUGAUGCAUAAACUGAUCACAAAACAACAUUCAACGAUUUUUUACUCACUAGAAACCCCCCCAAAAAAAAACUAUCGAAUGUCGGCAAAGCAAAAAAUCAAUAAACGGAAACUCUGGCAAGGAUGAAAACUAACCUAAGGAUAAAAAUAGCAAUGGAAAACAAUAUCCAACCAUUUUUUACUCACUAGAAACCCCCCCAAAAAAAACUAUUGAAUGUCGGCAAAGCAAAAAAUCAAUAAUCAGAAAAAAUCGGAAAAUAUGGAAAGGAAGAAAACUAACCUAUCGAUAAAAAUAGGAAUGGAAAACAAUAUCCAACCAUUUUUUACUCACUAGAAACCCCCCCAAAAAAAACUAUUGAAUGUCGGCAAAGCAAAAAAUCAAUAAUCAGAAAAAAUCAAAAAAUAUGGUAAGGAAGAAAACUAGCCUAUCGAUAAAAAUAGCAAUGGAAAACAAUAUCCAACCAUUUUUUACUCACUAGAAACCCCUCCUAAAAAAACUAUUGAAUGUCGGCAAAGCAAAAAAUCAAUAAUCAGAAAAAAUCAAAAAAUAUGGUAAGGAUGAAA